CGGGGUGUAGCGCAGCUUGGCAGCGCGCUUCGUUCGGGACGAAGAGGUCGUGGGUUCAAAUCCCGCCACCCCGACCC
rnacentral:tRNA from 2 species